rnacentral:tRNA from 1 species
GGCUCGGUGGUGUAGUUGGUUAUCACGUCAGUCUAACAAUCGUUAGUCUCACUGAAGGUCCCGAGUUCAAACCUCGGCUGAGUCA